rnacentral:tRNA from 1 species
GGGCCAGGAGUAGGUCGGUAAUACGCCUCAUUCGCAUUGAGGAGAUGGGCGGUUCAAUUCCGCUCUGGUCCA